rnacentral:rRNA from 1 species
ACCAGGCGACUGGGCGCGGAACCUGAAAACCUGUCUCAGUUCGGAUCGGAGUCUGCAACCCGACUCCGUGAAGCUGGAUUCGCUAGUAAUCGCGGAUCAGCAUGCCGCGGUGAAUACGUUCCCGGGCCUUGUACACACCGCCCGUCACACCAUGAGAGUUGGAAAUACCCGAAGCCUGUGAGCUAACUUAAAGAGGCAGCAGUCGAAGGUAGAAUCAAUGAUUGGGGUGAAGUCGUAACAAGGUACC